GCCGGGCAUGGUGGCUCAUGCCUGUAAUCCCAGCACUUUGGGAGGCCGAGGUGGGUGGAUCAUCUGAGGUCAGGAGUUCAAGACCAGCCUGGCCAACAUGACGAAAUCCCACCUCUA
ensembl:misc_RNA Metazoa_SRP Metazoan signal recognition particle RNA